rnacentral:hammerhead_ribozyme from 1 species
AUCUAGCUGAUGAGUCCCAAAAUAGGACGAAACGUGCAUCGUAGAU